rnacentral:rRNA from 1 species
CCUACGGGUGGCAGCAGUGAGGAAUAUUGGUCAAUGGGCGCUAGCCUGAACCAGCCAAGUAGCGUGAAGGAUGACUGCCCUAUGGGUUGUAAACUUCUUUUAUAUGGGAAUACAGUGCAUUAUGUAUACUGCUUUGCAUGUACCUUAUGAAUAAGGAUCGGCGAACGCCGUGCCAGCCGCCGCGGUAAGACGGUGGAUACGGUCGUUAUCCGGAUUUAUUGGGGUUAAAGGGAGCGUAGGCGGGUUAUUAAGUCAGUUGUGAAAGUUCGCGGCUCAACCGUAAAAUUGCAGUUGAUACUGGCAUCCUUGAGUACAGUAGAGGUAGGCGGAAUUCGUGGUGUAGCGGUGAAAUGCUUAGAUAUCACGAAGAACUCCGAUUGCGAAGGCAACCUGCUGGACUGUAACUGACGCUGAUGCUCGAAAGUGUGGGUAUCAAACAGGAUUAGAUACCCUUGUAGUC